rnacentral:rRNA from 1 species
GACGAACGCUGGCGGCGUGCUUAACACAUGCAAGUCGAGCGGUAAGGCCCUUCGGGUACGACGAGCGGCGAACGGGUGAGUAACACGUGGGUGACCUGCCUUUAGCUCUGGGAUAAGCCUGGGAAACUGGGUCUAAUACCGGAUAUGACCUCAUGACGCAUGUUGUGGGGUGGAAANCCUUGUGCGGCUAGAGAUGGGCCCGCGGCCUAUCAGCUUGUUGGUGGGGUGAUGGCCACCAAGGCGACGACGGUAGCCGGCCUGAGAGGGCGACCGGCCACACUGGGACUGAGACACGGCCCAGACUCCUACGGGAGGCAGCAGUGGGGAAUCUUGCGCAAUGGGCGAAAGCCUGACG